UGCGCACGCGAGCGAUACCAUUGGACGAGCUAAAAUCGCAGGCUACGUGAAGAGCUAAUUGUCACGAACAAACGCGUUAACUCAGCGCGCGGAUUUUGCCACACGGCCAGAGUAUCUUAGACCAGUAGACAGUAGCUUGGUCUAAGCAGCAGGAGGGUCUAGUAGAAUUUAGAAUACAAUUGCACCAAACUCCUUACAAGCGGAACGCUUUUGAGAAAGACUGCUGGAAGAAACAAGAAAAAGAUAAAACGAAAAAGGCGCGUGAGCGAGAUAACAUGGCGGGCAAGUCUUGGAAGAGUUUACCUGUUGCCAAAGCGUUCUGACAAAAGAAUUAAGUGGACGAUAAGGAUCCAGCGUUUUAUAUUUCUCAAUAGCAACUGCAGGGUGUUGUCUCUUCAGGUCGUAAAGCCAUGUUAAUCGAUGUGUAAGGAUUUCCACCAACAGCUCUAAACUAAAAUAUUUCUCGGAACAUUCAUCGCCGCCAUCUGUUCAACGCCAAAAGAAGAAGGAAUCCAAGAGCCCAGACAUUAAUUGACGUAGACAGAGAGCAGGGAUUCCGGUCUGACAGUCAGAUAUUUUCCCCAAAGAUUUACAGGAUCACAUACAUAUAUAUAUAUAGAUAUAUAUUAUUCACAGGCAACAAGGGUGCACGAAAUCGCGGACUGAGGAAAAACCCGUGCAAGAAAUUUUUCAAUUCAUAUUCCCACAAAAUGGAGCUUCGGGUGAUUUUAGUGGACAUUAUUUUACUGAUGUUUCUCUCGCCAUUAGCUGUCUCCAAACCACGAGGGGUGGGGCUUCUUGUAAACUCUGGAAACUUUGACAACUCACCAGAAUUGUCAGGCAACAAAGAUGAUUUAAAACGAGAAAAACAACUUUUUAGAUUUCAGUGAAUUUCUUGCCGAUCUCCAUUCGCCUGUUCACGACCGCCAGGGUGAUCCACGAACGAGGUCCUCAGUUGCAGAGAAAAGACAGAGAAUGUACGGAAUACCUGUCCGAAACUUUUUCCCCGGCGAUCUGAAGAGGGAACUACUUCCCGUCAGCAACCGAAUAACACCCUUUGGGACCAGGCUAUUUCUCAAGACGGAGAAACCGAUCGGAGUCAAUCGUAACUUGUUCCGGUAUGGCUAAUCCUGCUCACCCCUCCGUUGUUAGUGGAGUGAUCCAGUGACUUCACGACCGACUGCUGUCCUAAAUCCAAUCGUUGUCUAACUCUCUAUGACACCACGAGAUGUACUGAAUUUGGUGGUGCUAUUCACUGGUUGAAAGAGAAAUUAUGAAAUGCAAAUACAGUUUAUCGUUCUUUAAAUCUCUUCGUGUCGCAGACUCUCUUGUAUUCAACUGAUUUAUGGUGGUAUUUAAAUUCCGGUGACUAAGAUGGCAUAUAAUUCUUAUCCGAUGCAAUUUCCUUCGCUGGUAUAAUUUUACACAGAAACGCCAUACAGCUAACUGAUGGGUGUUUAAGGAG